CCUAUAGUGUCCCUUUAAAUAUUGUCAACAAUGGAAGUAGGACCUGAGGUGACUUUAGAUAGGGAAUAUUAUCAAGAUAUUUGGGAUGCUGCGAAUGGUCUGUCCAUCUGCAUCCUGCACCAGGAACAAAUUCACAAAAUCGUGAAGUGCUGGCACACCAACCCAGUCAAGUUCUUCCAUAUGUGAAAAUCAAACGCAAACCUAUGCUGGAGGCAUCCAGUGAUAAAGGCACAUACUUCCAUAUGUGGUGGUCUUGUAGCAUCAUUCUGGAGCAUUAUCCAGAAUCUUCUUUCCCUAGUAUUUCACAGGCAUUUUCAGUUGGAUCUAUGGUUCUUUUUAUUAUCUAAACCGAUGGAUGGGUUCACUACACACCUGCAGAAACUAUAUAAUAAGAUCAUGCUGGCAGUACGUAAGGCUGUGGACUUAAGUUGGUUACAGACAGAAUUUCCCUCAAUGCAGUAAGUUAUCAUUAAAAUUAAC